CGGCGUGCUUAACACAUGCAAGUCGAACGGAGCUAUUAUAGAAAGCGGAGCUUGCUCCAAUGGACAUUUUAGCGUUAGUGGCGGACGGGUGAGUAACGCGUGGGUAACCUGCCUUGCACAGGGGGACAACAGUUGGAAACGACUGCUGAUACCGCAUAAGCCGGUAGAACCGCAUGGUUUAUCCGGAAAAGAUUUAUCGGUGCAAGAUGGGCCCGCGUUGGAUUAGUUAGUUGGCGGGGUAACGGCCCACCAAGACCGCGAUCCAUAGCCGACCUGAGAGGGUGAUCGGCCACAUUGGGACUGAGACACGGGCCCAAACUCCUACGGGAGGCAGCAGUGGGGAAUAUUGCGCAAUGGGGGAAACCCUGACGCAGCCAACGCCGCGUGAGUGAGGAAGUAUUUCGGUAUGUAAAGCUCUAUCAGCAGGGAAGAAGAUGACGGUACCUGCAGAAGAAGUCCCGGCUAACUACGUGCCAGCAGCCGC
rnacentral:rRNA from 1 species